AUCUCAAUAGCUCAGUGGUUAGAGCGCUGGCACGGUAUGCCAGAGGCCCUGGGUUGAGACU
rnacentral:tRNA from 1 species